AAUACCAGCCAAACUAGGAAACAGGAUCUGUAAAAAGCAAACGUUUGUAGAAAAUUUGAUCUUGGAGGAACUUGAUGCUAUUCAUUUCUUGUCUGUGUUCUGCAGUAACUCACCAUGUAACUAAGAUCAAACUAGAGCCGACAGAAAUCGUACAUUGUGAGGAAGGAUCUUCAUUGCUGAGCGGCAUUGUUUCAGAAGUCAACACUCUCAACAGGAAUCUUUGAGGACUCUGCAGAGCAAGGAGCAAACAGGACACUGCUCACUACAGAGGCUUCACCAUGAAGGUUUCUUUCAGCAUCUUCUUACUUGGAUUAUGGAUGGCAAGGCAUUGGCAUAUAUGUAGAGGACAAUAUCAAUUUCAAUAUCCCAAGCCUUCUAUAGUCUUGAGCUCCACAGAAGUGCCCCUUGGAGGAACUGUCUUCAUUCACUGCACAAGGCCUAGCGCCCUUCAAGAGGCGAAGUGGUUCAUACUGUACCAAGUGGUGGAUUCCAGGGUAAUUCACCAG